CCUACGGGAGGCUGCAGUGGGGAAUAUUGCACAAUGGGCGCAAGCCUGAUGCAGCCAUGCCGCGUGUGUGAAGAAGGCCUUCGGGUUGUAAAGCACUUUCAGCGGGGAGGAAGGCGUUAAGGUUAAUAACCUUGGCGAUUGACGUUACCCGCAGAAGAAGCACCGGCUAACUCCGUGCCAGCAGCCGCGGUAAUACGGAGGGUGCAAGCGUUAAUCGGAAUUACUGGGCGUAAAGCGCACGCAGGCGGUCUGUCAAGUCGGAUGUGAAAUCCCCGGGCUCAACCUGGGAACUGCAUUCGAAACUGGCAGGGUAGAGUCUUGUAGAGGGGGGUAGAAUUCCAGGUGUAGCGGUGAAAUGCGUAGAGAUCUGGAGGAAUACCGGUGGCGAAGGCGGCCCCCUGGACAAAGACUGACGCUCAGGUGCGAAAGCGUGGGGAGCAAACAGGAUUAGAUACCCGAGUAGUC
rnacentral:rRNA from 1 species